rnacentral:misc_RNA from 1 species
GAUGGACUCAAUGAUAUCGGCUAGUACCUUGGGUGCCUUUAUGGUUGUGCCGCCGAAGUAUGCAGCAGCGGUGGCGGCACGGUCUUCCCGGCUGAAUGACUGGCGAAAUUCUUCCACCUUUUGAUCCAGGUCAGAGCUAUUGCGGCGGAGGUAGCAAUAGAGUCCGUAAAAGACGGCAACACGUGCGAGCUUCUCAUUGCGGACGUUGGCGGAGCGGAGGAUGG